UUCUUUCUUUUUUUCUAGUCCGUGUGUGUAUUUUUGCUGAUUUUCUCGGAAGUUUGUUAGGUAAUGGGCCAUGCAGAAAGCAAUUUCCUCUUUAGGAAAAAGAAAAGAAAUUGUAUGGGAAUUGAAGUUCGGGGAAGUAGAGGAUUCUAAAACAAACAGCGGCCUGUCUUUGACGCAUGAAAACUUUUGGAACCUUCCAAACGAAAUAAAAACAGAAAAGUUAUCAACUUUGAAUAUUGAAAAUUCCAAUUGCCAGUCUCUGUUUAAAUACAAAUUCUGUUGACUGUUUAUCUUCCAUUUCUACAGUACAUCAAACCCAGAACAGCCCGACACAAAAUCAUUGUAGAAAACAGAAUACCUUUCACUAGUAUCUAAGAUUUGUUCUGAUCUUGAAACUCACCUUGGGUUUGCUGACAAAGAAUUGGCCGAAUUUGUUAUUCAUUUGGGUCGUAAUUCUGAUACUUUCCAUCAAUUUGAUUCUAAAUUGAAGCGAAAUGGUGCUCAAUGGCCUGACUAUUUGGUCAGAACUUUCAUCACUGCCAUUCAUUCCAUUCUUCCUCCGCCCAAAUCAGAGGGUGGUAGAAUUGGGAGUGCUGUCUACAGGGGUAGGGUUUCAAGAGUCAUGGCUAAAGGAUGCUUUGUUCAAUUGGAUGGUGAUGAUGACUUUGGAGGGAAAGAGGGUUUGCUUCAUCAAUCUGAUUUUUUGGUUGGGAAAGAGGUUAGGAGAGGGGAUGAGGUUUAUGUGAAAGUUGUUUCUGAUUCUCCUGGUCAAAAAGGAUUGAGGCUUUCUAUGAAGGAUGUUGUCGAUCGGAAUACUAUUGGUGAGGAGCGGAAUACAAUUGGUGAGGAUUUGGGAUUGUGCAAGAUGGAAAGAGGCUUGAGUAAGACUGGUGUUAGCGGAAUUCAUAUAGAGGAGGCCUAUUAUGAUGCUAAAACAAGGAUGGUAAAGAUGGAGAGAAUGAAUUCUCCAGAUAGGUAUGAUGUGAAUCAGCUGAUUGCUUCAGGUGUUUUGGGUUUGAGUGAGUAUCCAAUUAGUCAAGAGGAUGAUGAUGAUCCUAACGUUGAGCAAGGGAUUGAGAUAGAGUUGAAUGAUGAUGAGCCAGCAUUUUUGCAUGGGAAGACGAGUCAUAGUAGUGGUAUUGAUAUGUCGCCUGUGAAGAUUAUGAAGAAUCCAGAUGGGUCAUUGUGUCGUUCAGCCGCACUUCAGUCUGCCCUCAUGAAGGAACGAAGAGAGAUAAUAGAAGAGAAGAUGAGGAGGAUGGUUGAUUGCAUACCCAAGGAUCUUAAUCGUUCUUGGGAAGACCCAAUUCCAGAGAUUGGAGACAGGUGUUUGGCACAGGAGAUCAGAGGUGUUGAUUUAUCUGCAUUUAACAUGCCAAAGUGGAAGAAGGAUGCAUUUCAGAAGUCAUUUACUUUUGGGCUGAGGCCGAAGUUAUCUUUUCAGGAACAGAGGCAUAGCUUGCCAAUUUACAAGUUGAAGAAGGAAUUAAUUCAAGCUGUGCUUGAUAAUCAGGUGCUUGUGGUGAUUGGUGAGACUGGUUCAGGGAAGACUACUCAGAUAACCCAGUAUCUUGCGGAGGCUGGAUACACAGCUGGAGGGAAGAUUGCGUGUACACAGCCUCGGAGGGUAGCUGCAAUUUCUGUAGCGAAGAGGGUAGCUGAAGAGGUUGGAUGCCGUUUAGGAGAGGAAGUUGGUUAUGCUAUUCGCUUUGAGGAUUGCACUGGACCUGAUACUGUGAUCAAAUAUAUGACAGAGGGUUUACUUCUCAGGGAAAUUUUGACAGACAAGAAUCUGUCUCAGUACUCUGUCAUAAUGCUUGAUGAGGCUCAUGAGAGGACAACUUACACUGAUGUUCUUUUCGGCCUGCUGAAGCAGCUUUUGAAAAGGAGAUGUGAUCUUCGUCUGAUUGUCACAUCUGCGACACUUGAUGCAGAAAAAUUUUCUGGUUAUUUCUUUGACUGCAACAUUUUCACUAUCCCUGGAAGAUCUUUUCCUGUGGAGAUAUUAUAUACCAAACAGCCAGAAAAUGAUUACCUCGGUGCAGCUCUUAUAACAGUCCUGCAAAUCCACUUGACAGAACCUGAAGGAGACAUUCUCCUCUUUUUGACAGGCCAAGAAGAAAUAGAUUGCGCUUGUGAGUCACUCGAUAUGAAGAUGAAAGAACUAGGUAAAGAUGUUCCAGAGUUGAUUAUCUUGCCGGUUUAUAGUGCACUUCCAGGUGAAAUGCAAUCAAUGAUAUUUGAACCAGCUCCACAAGGGAAGCGGAAAGUGGUUGUGGCAACCAAUAUUGCUGAGACAUCUUUGACAAUUGAUGGAAUUUUUUAUGUUGUUGAUCCUGGAUUUAUGAAACAAAAUCUAUAUAAUCCAAAGAUAGGGGUUGAUUCUCUGCUUGUAACCCCUAUUUCACAAGCAUCAGCCAAACAACGUGCUGGACGUGCUGGGCGUACUGGCCCUGGAAAGUGUUACCGUCUAUACACUGAGAGUGCAUUUCGCAAUGAGAUGUCCCCUGCCACAACUCCAGAAAUUCAAAGGAUUGACCUUGCGUAUCCUACACUCACCUUGAUGGCCAUGGGAAUUAGAGACCUCUUCUCUUUUGAUUUUAUGGAUCCACCUUCAUCCCAAGCCCUCAUUUCUGCUAUGCAACAACUCUAUGGUCUAGGGGCUCUUGAUUAUGAGGGACUUCUAACAAAAACAGGGAGGCUAAUGGCUGAGUUUCCUCUUGAACCACCAUUAUCUAAAAUGUUGUUGGCUAGUAUAGACCUUGGGUGCAGUGAUGAGAUUUUGACUAUUAUUGCCAUGAUACAGACUGGUAACAUUUUCUACCGGCCUAAGAAGAAACAAGCUCAAGCAGAUCAAAGGAGGGCUAACUUUCUCCAUUCAGAAGGAGAUCAUCUGACUUUACUUGCUGUGUAUGCGGACUGGAAAGAAAAGGGUUUCUCGGCACCUUGGUGUUCUGAGAAUUUUCUUCAAUAUCGAUCUUUGAAGAGGGCACAGGAUGUCAGGAAACAGCUUUUGACCAUCAUGGAUAAAUAUAAGUUGGAUGUUGUCAGUGCUGGAAAGGAUUCUACUAAGAUAAGAAAAGCUAUUGCAGCAGGAUUCUUUUUCCACGCAGCUAGAAGGGAUCCACAGGGGGGUUAUCGGACCCUAGUUAGCGACCAGACUGUUUAUAUCCACCCUAGCAGUGCACUUUUCCAGAUACAACCAGUUUGGGUUAUCUAUCAUGAGGUGGUAAUGACAAGGAAGGAGUACAUGCAUGAGAUUACUGCCAUACAGCCUACAUGGCUUGUAGAGCUGGCACCGAGAUUAUUUAAAGCCUCAGAUCUAAUGAAGAUGAGCAAGCACAAACGCCAAGAACGAAUUGAACCACUUUAUGAUAGAUAUCAUGAACCUAAUUCAUGGCGCCUCAGUAAAAGGCGAGCUUAAUUCAUGCACCAGUGAAUAUCAGAAUAAACUGGUUGUUGAGGUUGAUUUCACAAAUCUUUUUCAUCCAUGCCAGAGAUAUAACUAGUUUUACACUAUCAAUUAUCUUAGUGGUAUUUGGGCUUGAAUUCUAAGGCUUAAUGUCUGGCAUCUGAUCAUAGGGCAAGAUGGCAGCUUGAAGUGAAAAUGAGCUGAUGAACUAAGCACAUCUCUACUAUAGCAAUCAAGGGAACUGAUCUAUUUUCUUUAUUGCAUCUUUCUUUUAUAAUCUACCAUUUUGCUUGACAUCUUGCUUUAUAUCCAUGUCAUUUAUUUAGGAAAUUGAGCUGUCAUUUAAAGUAUUGAAUAGUGCGACAUGAUUGAAGAGGUAAAUUAUUUUUGUUUUAGGAGAUGACGACAAUUUCAUUAUAUUUUUCUUUUGAUUGUUAAAAAAGAAAUUGUUCCACUUUGUUCUUGGGAAAAAUUUACAAGUUUUGUAUCUUAGGUCUCUUGCUGUCUUACUUGGCUCUCUUAGAGAUAUUUUUUCCCCUUUUCAUUAAGUUGCUAUAAAGAACCCCUAGAAAAUCCACAUGAAAUGGCAUCUGCUUAUCAUAAUGCCCUAGUGUCAAAGCAGAGAGACAGGGAGAGAUUUCUUUGAUGCUUUGAUCUUUCUCAUCCAUCUUGUAGAGAAAAUAGAGAAUGAAUUAGAGAGAUUAGAGAGUUUCUUUGCAAGUGAAGAAAACCUUAGGAGAUAUUCAUUCACCGGCAUAAAUUCCCUUUUACUGCAAAAACAUUUAUCUUUAAUGCCUAAGAUCUAUGAAGCACGGACAUGGAUGUGGACACGGGUAAAGGUAUGGAUAUGGCAGGGACAUGAAAAAGUUAAUAUAUAUGUAUAUAGAAAAUGAUAAUAAUUGUAUAAUAUAAAUUUUAUAUAAAUUCCAUUCAUAAAAAUGAAAUUAGAAGUUUAAAAAUUUUCAAUCUCUUCAUCUUCACCCACUUCAUCUACAAAUAACAAUAUUUAAGAAAGAAACAAGUUUGUGUAAAAGAAUUUCAGAUGGAGAUAAAGUGGGGAACAAAUUGAAGAGAUAGAGAAGUAGAGAGAGGGAUUUCUGUUUGUUGAAAUAAGCGUGAGAAGUAUAGAGAUUAAGUGUGGUUAGUGUUUUAUUAAGAGACUUAUGUUUUAUAUUUUUAUAAUUUGAUCCAUUAACUUUUAACUUAUUUUAAAAAGUACCCCAUAUUUUUCAAGAUUUCCCCAAAAUUUUGCAAAGUUUAUUACUUCCUGUUGGCGUCUCCCUUGCGUGUUCCCAUCUGUAAAAAAGAAAAACAAAGAACAUGUUUUCUGGCAUGUUCCAUAUGCGUCCUCGGCAUGUCCCUCGGGAAAACGCAUACGGCAACCCCUAGGAGUGUCAGCUUCAUAGCCUAAGAUUAAAAUGACUUUAUUAUUUUUCAAACUUUUUGGUCAGAGAGACUAAUUAUUGAGCAGGUAAAUGGCAAAUAUUAACUGACUAGUAAUGGGCCAUCAAUAACUCUUCUUAACUAGUCAAUUACUUCCAGUAGCUUACAUAGCUGAUUGAUAAUUAGCACCAGUAGCUUUUGGAAACCCUGACACUUUUACUGUGUUGAUAUUGCAAUUGUGACACAUAAACUUUGGUGGUUGUAAUUUUAGUUGAACUUUCUGAUCAGGUUGAGGCUGUAUUGACUUUUAGGUUUCUGGGACUCUUUUAAUUGGUAAUGACUAAAUAGUUCAUAUUUGUAUUUUGGUGGUUUGCAAUCUGUGAAAUUGUGACUGGAUUUUCAUUUUAUUUGGCUUUAGAUCGGUACACUACAUGUUUUUGGGAUCUUGUCAUUUUGUAGGUGAUGCUGACUUCAUAUUGGGUGAUAGUUGGCUAUUCUCAGAACAGGUAAUUGGCAUUGAUCAACCUGUGGUGGUUGUCUAAAGCAAUGAAAUUUUUUACCUUAAAUCUCAUGCUUGGAGUUCUUUCUUUGGCUCGCAUUUAUCUCGAUCCAUAGCUUUUUUAACUGUUAAACAUGCAAUGAAAAUUGUUGAGUGUCAUUUCCAAUUAUAUUGAUUCAUUGUGUUACCAUUAAUGGUGUCUGAGACUUGUACCAUGAUGGAGAAGAAAUUCUUAGGCAAAUUUGGUUUACAAGUUUUCAUUUAGGAUAAACUAAUAGGAGCAAGCCAUGUCAGCAUAAAUUAUAUUUAUGCAUGGUCAAGGAAAUAAUUUAGUGAUGGCAAUUAUGAAAUUUUUUUGAUGUGGUGAGUUUUUAUUUGUUUUAUCAAUAGCCAUGUGGUAGAACAACUCUGCCUAAGAAUUUCUUUUCGUCAAGGAGAUUUUCGGAGGAGCCUUCUUCGUUUCUGUCCUAGCUUCAAAUGUGUAGUUCCAGUGAGUAUUAAGAUUUCCUAGUUUCAUCCCCCGCAGUCCCCUGUAGAGCAGUCUCCUUUAGAGUCUUCCCUUCCUAAAGCCUUUCUAACUAAGCCCUCUCUUUCUAAGGCGCUUGGAGAUCCAGUUUGAGUGGAAGUUCCCGUUGGAGUGGAGUCUUUUACCAGAGAUUUUGGUGUCAUUUCAUGUAAUUCAUUAGAAAAUUCUUCCCCUUUAGUCUAUUAAACGUGAAGUUUUAUAUUUAAUGAAUGCUAAUGUCCUUAUGUGGAAUUUGUUACUCUCUGUUCAUUUCUAUUUAUUGACUUAAAUUGGCUGUCUAGUAUUCUGUCCAUUUUUAUAUAAAUCUAUGUCAUGAAAAUUGGUAGUUCAAUCUGGUUUUGCUUCUUUUCUGCUUUUGCUUAGAUGAUAGGUACCAUUUGUAUGUGCUAGUUGAUAUUCAUUUAUGGCCCAAAGAAUAGAAAUAUAAGAUUAUGAGAGCAGUAAAAUAGUUAUUUAAAUAAAGAAAUUUGUAGAAAUAGUUAUUAGAGCAUCUCAAAUGCACUUUAUAUAUAUCAAAUUCAUUAUUUUAAAGAUAGUAUUACAAAAUAAGAAGUCUAAUGCACCCUUUAUUGUUUAAAAUGAAGUAAAGAGUUGGUUUGGCUCUCUACAUUUGGAAAGCCGAACUUUACUCUCGAUUUUGAGUUUAAUAAGUUCAUUACAAGUUUUCAUACACUUUAUUAAUUAAUAUUUUUAAUUUAUUUUUUAUUGGCUAAAGUUGAAAAGGAAAGGAAAUAGAACUUAAAAUCAUUAAUGCUUAUGAAAAUAAAAGUAAAAUAAAGAGCAGACUUUAAAGCGUAUUGGACUUAAAUAAAAUCUUUUACUCUUUAUAUUUAAAUAUUCCUUAAAUGCUCUUUGUUAUAAACAUUAUGCUCUUGCUGAUGCUCUUAGGAUUCACAUCUGGUAAGCAUAUAGUAGUGUGUGCAUCACUUGUUGAAUGCAUUUAGGUGAGUAGUAUGAACUAAGAACAUCUUAGAAUGUGAGGAAAAAUAUGUAUAUCUGCAUAUUGCUGUAACAUAUGUUUGUGGACUAUCAAGCAUGCAUGCCCCUGAAAAAACAUUAAAGUCACACUGGUUGCUAAUGGAAGAUAUUCUUUUAAAAAUAAUCCUUGUACUUGAUAGUACAUUCUCAAUCCCUGUCAAAUGGUAUAGAUGGAAAUUAGAUGGUUAUAUAUGCUGCAAGUAUUAGUUUUACAUAGAGAAACCAAAAUCUGCUUUAGUUGGCAUGUAAAAUCACUCUCUCUCUCUCUCUCUCUCUCUCUCUCUAAUGCAGCAAAUGAAUUACUUAGAAGGGUUAGUCUUAGAUUAUUGAUUUUUCUUGCUUGGAAGUGGAAUGCUGAGUUUGCAGUGAUUUUUACCUCAAUUGGAUUGAGUGGAGGUCAUCUUAAGCUUUGAGUUUUGCUUAAUCCACACUGGAGUAAUCAUGGCGUUGCAGAUAUUUUGUUGAUUCUGGUAAAGAGUAGAUCAUAUGUUAUUUGGUGAAGGUGGCUUUUGAAAAACGUAGAGAUGGCAAAACUGGUUGAAGGGGAAGCCUGAUUUUCUUUUGUUAUGGAUAGAAAGGGCUUCAGGAGGGUGCACAUUAUUUAUGGCGGAUGAAAUGCCAACAAGAGAUAUACUGAAUAUUAGUAAAUAUUUGAUUUAUGUAACUAGAGUUAUAUAUGUUUGAAGACAAUGUUAAAUUAUGCAUGCUAUGCUCCUUUUGUAA